rnacentral:rRNA from 1 species
UACGGGGGGGGCAAGCGUUGUCCGGAUUUACUGGGCGUAAAGAGCGCGCAGGCGGUCGUUCAAGUCGCGUGUGAAAGCCCCCGGCUCAACUGGGGAGGGUCACGCGAUACUGAUCGACUCGAAGGCAGGAGAGGGAAGUGGAAUUCCCGGUGUAGUGGUGAAAUGCGUAGAUAUCGGGAGGAACACCAGUGGCGAAGGCGACUUCCUGGCCUGUUCUUGACGCUGAGGCACGAAAGCGUGGGGAGCAAACAGG